AAUUUACUAAUACAAUAGAAAAAAAGGGUAAAACGAAUUUGCAAACUUAACAAAAUUGACCCAAAAGUUAAAAUUGCAAUUCUUCACUUUUGCUUAUACUUGUUUGCUUAUCCGAGAACGAUGAAGCCUUCUGCCAACGAUGCCUCCGCCUUCGGCCGACGAUGCCUCCGCCGCCGGUCUCCGGUCGACGACACAUACGAAGUCUCCUAAUCCGGCCUACAGUUGCUUCCGCCUCCUCCUUCUUUCACAUUGUUUACAGGUCUGAGGUUAUACAUCAGAAAUUUACCAUUACAUAUGGAUGAGGUAUUAGUGCAAACAACCAAGAGUAGGAGGAUCCGUAUGUUAGAAAGAAAAACCAAAAAAAGAAGUGUUGGUAAACGCAAAACGAAACAUCUUGAAGCAAGUUGGAAUGGUGAUCCAUGUGUUCCGCAUCAUCCAUGGAGUGGAAUUGGCUGAUUAAUAAGGCUGGAAUGCAAAGCCAGAAUGGGCUGGAAAGGCUGGAAUGCAAAGCCAAAAUGGGCUGGAAGGAAUGGGGAUGUGAGACAUCAAGUACGGUUGUAUAUUGGUGUAUUAGAUGUGUAUAUAAGGUGUAUUAGAUGAUACUUGAGACAUCAAUUACGGUUGUUUAUUGGUGUAUUAGAUAUGUAUAUAUAUGGCGUACUAGAUAAUUGUAUGUAAUGAUUGUAUGGGAUGGUAUAGGAUACAUAUAACACGGUUAAAUAACCGUAUUUUAUUAUGCAUGUAAUCUAAUACACCCCUCUACUAA